GCGGUCCUGAUGAAUAAGCCUCGGCUAAUUCCUGUGCCAGCUGCCUGCGGUAACUCGGGAGAGGCGAGCGUUAUCCGGAAUUAUUAGGGCGUAAACGCGUCCGCAAGGUGGUCAAUUUAACGUCUGUCGUCAAAACGUGGAGCUCAACUCCAUACUCGCGAUGGAAACUGAUUGACUAGAGUACGGUAGGGGUAGCGGGAAUUCCAAGUGUAGCGGUGAAAUGCGUAGAUAUCUGGAAGAACACUAGCGACGAAAGUGCGCUACUGGGACUAUACUGACACUCAUGGACGAAAGCCAGGGCGAGCGAAAGGGAUUAGAUACCCCAUGUAAUCCUGGCCGUAAACGAUGAACACUAAGUGUUGCGCGAAUCGACCCGUGCAGUGCCGUAGCCAACGCGUUAAGUGUUCCGCCUGAGGAGUACGCACGCAAGUGUGAAACUCAAAGGAAUCGACGGGGGCCCGCACAAGCGGUGGAAUAUGUGGUUAAAUCCGAUUGAACCAGAAGAACCUAACCAAUGCUUGACAUACCCCGAAUAUCUGG
rnacentral:rRNA from 1 species